UGGGGAAUAUUGGACAAUGGGGGCAACCCUGAUCCAGCCAUGCCGCGUGAGUGAAGAAGGCCUUAGGGUUGUAAAGCUCUUUUAGCGGGGACGAUAAUGACGGUACCCGCAGAAUAAGCCCCGGCUAACUUCGUGCCAGCAGCCGCGGUAAUACGAAGGGGGCUAGCGUUGUUCGGAAUCACUGGGCGUAAAGCGCACGCAGGCGGAUUGAUAAGUCGGGGGUGAAAUCCCGGGGCUCAACCUCGGAAUUGCCUUUGAUACUGUCUGUCUUCGAGUUCGGGAGAGGUUGGCGGAAUUCCUAGUGUAGAGGUGAAAUUCGUAGAUAUUAGGAAGAACACCAGUGGCGAAGGCGGCCAACUGGCCCGAUACUGACGCUCAUGUGCGAAAGCGUGGGGAGCAA
rnacentral:rRNA from 1 species